CAGCAGCCGCGGGAAUACGAAGGGUGCAAGCGUUAAUCGGAAUUACUGGGCGUAAAGCGUGCGUAGGCGGUUUGUUAAGUCUGCUGUGAAAUCCCCGGGCUCAACCUGGGAAUGGCAGUGGAUACUGGCAAGCUAGAGUGUGUCAGAGGAUGGUGGAAUUCCCGGUGUAGCGGUGAAAUGCGUAGAGAUCGGGAGGAACAUCAGUGGCGAAGGCGGCCAUCUAGGACAACACUGACGCUGAGGCACGAAAGCGUGGGGAGCAAACAGGAUUAGAUACCCCCGUAGUCCCUGUCUCUUAUAC
rnacentral:rRNA from 1 species